GAUGAAGAACGCAGUGAAAUGCGAUAAUUAAUGUGAAUUGCAGAAUUCAGUGAAUCAUCGAGUCUUUGAACGCACAUUGCGCCCCCUGGUAUUCCGGGGGCAUGCCUGUCCGAGCGUCAUUGCUGCCCUCAAGCACGGCUUGUGUGUUGGGCUUCCGUCCCUGGCAACGGGGACGGGCCCAAAAGGCAGUGGCGGCACCAUGUCUGGUCCUCGAGCGUAUGGGGCUUUGUCACCCGCUCCCGUAGGUCCAGCUGGCAGCUAGCCUCGCAACCAAUCUUUUUAACCAGGUUGACCUCGGAUCAGGUAGGGAUCCCCGCUGAACUUAAGCAUAUCAAUAAGCGGAGGA
rnacentral:misc_RNA from 1 species